rnacentral:lncRNA from 1 species
CUCCAGAUGCCUCUACAAACAACAAUGAUGCUGUUGGUAGAACAGAAGCUUUAAGUACAGUCUCCGGUAUGUUGGGUCAGAACUUCCCUAUUCUUUCAGUUUCGUCCCAAUCUGAAAUGCCUUGUGCAACUGAAGUUGCUAACAUUGACUCUGACAGCACUGGGUUACUUUGUCCAUCAACUGAUUCCAGAGAUAAGCCUAUGCUGCAGACAAAUGUAUCUAAGAAUACACUUGCUAGAGGGAAAAAAAAGAGAAAAGAAGCUCU